rnacentral:piRNA from 1 species
UACCUAGGAAUUGGACAGAUUGCUUGGGAA